AUUGAACGCUGGCGGCAGGCCUAACACAUGCAAGUCGAGCGAGCGGCGGACGGGUGAGUAAUGUAUGUGGACCUGCUCGUUAGAGGGGGAUAACUACUGGAAACGGUGGCUAAUACCGCAUACUAUCGGAUGAACCCUUAUGUGAUUAGCUAGUGGGUGGGUUAAAGGCUCACCUAGGCGACGAUCUCUAGCUGUUCGGAGAGGAUGAUUGGCCACACGGGAACUGAGACACGGCCCAGACUCCUACGGGAGGCAGCAGUGGGGAAUAUUGCACAAUGGGCGCAAGCCUGAUGCAGCAAUGCCGCGUGUAUGAAGAAGGCCUUGGGGUUGUAAAGUACUUUCAGCGGGGAGGCGUUACCCGCAGAAGAAGCACCGGCUAACUCCGUGCCAGCCGCCGCGGUAAUAC
rnacentral:rRNA from 1 species